UCGCAGCAAACCUGGGGUUGCGAAGCGAAAACUUAUAUUUUUUUUGUUUUGACGGAAGUGGUGGAGUUUUCGUCGCGGAGGAUUUAUUUUGUGGGCAAAUGUGAACCUUUUUGGGCUUUGGAGGGAAUUCUGCUGCCCGGAGGCCAGCCAGUGUCGUAGCGCUAAGGCCGGAAAAAAGCCGAAACGCUGAAUAACCCGGUGCUAAUGCAGACGUUUUGUCCCACAAGAAGAUUAGUUUGGAGCAGUGGG